AUUGAACGCUGGCGGAAUGCUUUACACAUGCAAGUCGAGCGGCAGCACGGGGGCAACCCUGGUGGCGAGCGGCGGACGGGUGAGUAAUAGAUCGGAACAUGCCCAGUCGUGGGGGAUAAGACUUCGAAAGAAGUGCUAAUACCGCAUACGUCCUGAGGGGGUAAGGGGGGGAUCACAAGACCUCGCGCGCUUGGAGGGGCGGAUGUCAGAUUAGCUAGUUGGUGGGGUAAAGGCCUACCAAGGCAACGAUCUGUAGCUGGUCUGAGAGGAUGAUCAGCCACACUGGGACUGAGACACGGCCCAGACUCCUACGGGAGGCAGCAGUGGGGAAUUUUGGACAAUGGGGGCAAGCCUGAUCCAGCCAUUCCGCGUGAGUGAAGAAGGCCUUCGGGUUGUAAAGCUCUUUUGGCAGGAACGAAACGGUGAGCGCUAACAUAGCUCGCUAAUGACGGUACCUGAAGAAGAAGCACCGGCUAACUACGUG
rnacentral:rRNA from 1 species